rnacentral:rRNA from 1 species
CCUACGGGUGGCAGCAGUGAGGAAUAUUGGUCAAUGGACGCAAGUCUGAACCAGCCAUGCCGCGUGCAGGAAGACGGCUCUAUGAGUUGUAAACUGCUUUUGUACGAGGGUAAACGCAGAUACGCGUAUCUGUCUGAAAGUAGCGUACGAAUAAGGAUCGGCUAACUCCGUGCCAGCGGCCGCGGUAAUACGGAGGAUUCAAGCGUUAUCCGGAUUGAUUGGGUGUAAAGGGUGCGUAGGCGGUCGGAUAAGUUAGAGGUGAAAUCCCGAGGCUCAACUUCGGAAUUGCCUCUGAUACUGUUCGGCUAGAGAGUAGUUGCGGUAGGCGGAAUGUAUGGUGUAGCGGUGAAAUGCUUAGAGAUCAUACAGAACACCGAUUGCGAAGGCAGAUUACCAAGCUACUUCUGACGUUGAGGCACGAAAGCGUGGGGAGCAAACAGGAUUAGAUACCCGAGUAGUC